rnacentral:rRNA from 1 species
UGGGGAAUUUUGCGCAAUGGGCGAAAGCCUGACGCAGCGACGCCGCGUGUACGAUGAAGGCCUUUGGGUCGUAAAGUACUGUCAACGGGGACGAACGCCUCAGGUUGAAUAGGUCUGAGGUCUGACGGUACCCGUGGAGGAAGCACCGGCUAACUCUGUGCCAGCAGCCGCGGUAAUACAGAGGGUGCAAACGUUGCUCGGAAUGACUGGGCGUAAAGCGCGCGCAGGUGGCCCGUUAAGUCGGCUGUGAAAUCCCCUGGCUCAACCAGGGAAGUGCAGUCGAUACUGGCGGGCUCGAGUCCCGGAGAGGGUGGUAGAAUUCCCAGUGUAGAGGUGAAAUGCGUAGAGAUUGGAAAGAACACCAGUGGCGAAGGCGCUCUACUGGACCGUAACUGACACUCAGGGACGAAAGCUAGGGGAGCGAAAGGGAUUAGAUACCCCUGUAGUCC